rnacentral:rRNA from 1 species
AUUGAACGCUGGCGGCAGGCCCAACAAAUGCAAGUAGAACGGAGCGGCCGACGGGAGAGUAAUGCCUAUGACUCUGCGUGGUAGCGGGGGAUAACGUCCGGAAACGGGAUCUAAUACUGCAUAGUAUCAGAUGAGCCCAGGUCGGUUUUGCUAGUUGGUGGGGUAACGGCAAACAGAGGCGACGAUCCGUAACUGGUCUGAGAGGAUGAUCAGUAACAAAGGAACUGAGACACGGUCCGGGCUGCUACGGGAGGCAGCAGUGGGGAAUAUUGAACAAUGGGCGCAAGCCUGAUCCAGCCAAUCCGCGUGUGUGAAGAAGGUCUUCGGAUUGUAAAGCUCUUUAAGUUGAGAGGCGUUACCAACAGAAUAAGCACCGGGUAACUUCGUGCCAGCAGCCGCGGUAAUAC